CGUGGCUGACCGGGCAGUCAUGGCAAUGCAGGCUUCUCCCGGGUUUUCCUUCCAGCGGCACGAGCCCAUGAUGGGGAAGGCAGACCCACAGCCCGGGAGGUGCGGGGCGCCCGCCGGCAUAACCUUCGCGGCAACUCAGGCACCGCGCUGAAAAUCUGUGUGUGCUGUUUUAGGAGUAUCCCCCUCACACCGUUUCCCCAGAAUAUCAAUUGUUAACGCUUGUGUGAAAGGAGAACAAGGCUGGAGGCGGGGGAGCCUGCCUAGUAUUACUGCGGCCAUGGUGGGAGGAUGGCAGAGAUGGCAGACGGGUCAGGCUACCAGCCAACACAGGGACCAUGAGACAGGAGCAAGCAGACUGAGUGACGUGCCGGUGAGAGAUUUGGCACAGCAAAAGAGUGAAAGCCUAUUAAUUACCGAACUCACAGCACCAGCAGAAGCGACUGCCCAUUCUCCUGUUCUUCAGUCCCAUUUGGCUGAUGGAAAAUCUGGGUAAAAUGUGGUGAGUAUGCUCUGCGAUACAACAUGGGAAUCUGCCUUUCUCCAGGCUCUUUGGCAUUGGGCCUGGCUCUUAAAAGGAGGGCAAAGGGGGUAUUUCUAGUGUUUAUUGUAAUCCCCACAAUCGUGGUGCUAUGCUCAUUUUUUAGGCAAAGGGCAAUAGUUUGGAGAGGGGCUGUGUGAGUA